rnacentral:tRNA from 1 species
GAAGGUAUAGCUCAGUGGCAGGGUGCACACCUAGCAUGCAUGAGGUCCUGGGUUCAAUCCCCAGUCCCUCCA